rnacentral:rRNA from 1 species
UACGGAGGAUCCGAGCGUUAUCCGGAUUUAUUGGGUUUAAAGGGUGCGCAGGCGGGAGAUUAAGUCGGCGGUGAAAUUUUGCAGCUCAACUGUAAAAGUGCCAUUGAUACUGGUUUUCUUGAGUGUGGAUGAAGUAGGCGGAAUUUGUGGUGUAGCGGUGAAAUGCAUAGAUAUCACGAGGAACUCCGAUUGUGCAGGCAGCUUACUAAACCAUAACUGACGCUCAGGCACGAAGGCGUGGGGAUCAAACAGGAUUAGAUA